rnacentral:rRNA from 1 species
AUGGACGAAAGUCUGACGCAUCAACACCGCGUGAGGGAUGAAGGUUUUCGGAUUGUAAACCUCUGUUGAGUGGGAAGAAACUGCUUCGGCCUUGACGGUACCACUCGAGGAAGCCCCGGCUAAAUACGUGCCAGCAGCCGUGGUAAUACGUAUGGGGCAAGCGUUGUUCGGAAUCACUGGGCGUAAAGGGAGCGUAGGCGGAUUAGUAAGUUAGGGGUGUAAUCUCCGGGCUCAACCCGGAAUCUUGCCUUUAAUACUGUUAGUCUUGAGUAGUGGAGAGGAAGACGGAAUUCCAGGUGUAGCGGUGGAAUGCGUAGAUAUCUGGAAGAACAUCAGGUGCGAAGGCGGUCUUCUGGCCACAUACUGACGCUGAGGGUCGAAAGUGUGGGGAGCGAACAGGAUUAGAUACCCUGCUAGUCCACACAGUAAACGAUGGACACUAGACGUCGGAAUCGCAAGGUUUCGGUGUCGUAGCUAACGCGUUAAGUGUCCCGCCUGGGGAGUACGCUCGCAAGAGUGAAACUCAAAGGAAUUGACGGGGGCCCGCACAAGCGGUGGAGCAUGUGCUUUAAUUCGAUGCAAAGCGAAGAACCUUACCUGGACUUGACAUGGGAGUGAAACUCUCUAGAGAUAGAGAGCCGUCCUUCGGGAACACUCUACACAGGUGCUGCAUGAUUGUCGUCAGCUCGUGUCGUGAGAUGUUGGGUUAAGUCCCGCAACGAGCGCAACCCUCGCCCUUAGUUGCCAUCAGGUUAUGCUGGGAACUCUAAGGGGACCGCCUGGAAUAACCAGGAGCAAGGUGGGGAUGACGUCAAAUCAUCAUGGCCCUUACGUCCAGGGCUAGACACGUGCUACAAUGGCAGGUACAAAGGGGUGCCAGCUCGUGAGGCCGAGCUAAUCCGAUAAAACCUGUCUCAGUUCGGAUUGGAGUCUGC